rnacentral:misc_RNA from 1 species
UCGUAACAAGGUCUCCGUUGGUGAACCAGCGGAGGGAUCAUUACCGAGUUUACAACUCCCAAACCCCUGUGAACAUACCACUUGUUGCCUCGGCGGAUCAGCCCGCUCCCGGUAAAACGGGACGGCCCGCCAGAGGACCCCUAAACUCUGUUUCUAUAUGUAACUUCUGAGUAAAACCAUAAAUAAAUCAAAACUUUCAACAACGGAUCUCUUGGUUCUGGCAUCGAUGAAGAACGCAGCAAAAUGCGAUAAGUAAUGUGAAUUGCAGAAUUCAGUGAAUCAUCGAAUCUUUGAACGCACAUUGCGCCCGCCAGUAUUCUGGCGGGCAUGCCUGUUCGAGCGUCAUUUCAACCCUCAAGCACAGCUUGGUGUUGGGACUCGCGUUAAUUCGCGUUCCUCAAAUUGAUUGGCGGUCACGUCGAGCUUCCAUAGCGUAGUAGUAAAACCCUCGUUACUGGUAAUCGUCGCGGCCACGCCGUUAAACCCCAACUUCUGAAUGUUGACCUCGGAUCAGGUAGGAAUACCCGCUGAACUUAAGCAUAUCAAUA